GGCCCCAACGAAUAAACAUGCAAGAGCUCUUACCCAAAAAAUUUUUUUUCGUUUUCUUCGUUUUAAUGGCCUAUCAUACACCUAUAUAAUUUUUUUUAAAUAUUUUAGACUUCAAAUAAGGCUUUUAUAGCACAAUAUUCGUUUAUUGUAGGGAAAAAAUAUAUCUUCAUAUCAUCAUGAAUAACAAAACAUGCGCCUAUUACAUAUUAUUUGUUUCUUAGAGUACACCAGAAUAAACGUGUUAAAUCAAUCUGCCGCUCGUGCCUAUCCUAUCCUUUCGGCAAUUACUCUUACACGAUUAUUCGUGUAAAAAUGGAAGCAACUUUUACUAGUAAUGCAUCAUUGCACACUGAAUAUAAUAAUUACAGUUAUUCCAUUAUCUUUUACUAAUUUCUCUCCUUUCUUCUACUUUUACGUAAAGGUUCAAGCACUUAUAUUCUUCGCUCAUGAAUUUCAAGUUAUUGUUAGUAACCGCUUAAUAUACGGAUACUUUUCCGAUCGUGUCUAUUGCAAUAGCGCGUUAGUAUAGACAAGGGAUGAAGCGGGGGCGAGCCACGCCGACUGUUUUAUAUAUUAAUAAGGCUUACGAUCUAAGAAGUAUUUCCAAUUUAGAUGGUGUUUUACAUAGUAUUGAAACACAAAAUAUAUCACAGGAUGUUGCAACUACAGCAUCGGAGGAAAGACCCGUAACUCCCAUUGAACAGCUUACGAAAAAGAGAAAAAUAGAUCCUAAUUUAUGGAAAGAUAAGAAAAACUAAAUUCUUAAAAAUUCUGAUAAAAGUUAUGAGGGUGCUAGAACUAACAAACAAAACGCAGAAAAAUCUAUUGGACCUCCAUGCAACUGCAAAUUGAAAUGUUACGAAAAGAUACAUCAAAAUAUAAGGAGUAAAAUGUUUCUGAGUUUUUGGGCUAUCGGGGACCAUGAGAGACAGUGAGAUUUUAUUAACCGACAUGUAAAGAAAGAUAACGUCAAAAAGAUUACAGUUGAUUGUUGAACGUAAAAAUAAUCGUACUCAAACAUUAACAUAUCAACUACUCGAUGAUACUAAUGAUAUACAUGAUUAAAGUUUCUAAAAUUAUGUUUUUAAAUACAUUAUCCAUUACAGAGCAAGUAGUAUACACAGCUAUUGAUAAAUUGGGAGAUGACAACUAUUUAAAAGACUACAGAGGAACUCAUAAGAACAGGCCAAGAAGAAUGUCAGAAGAGACUGAAAAAGUAUAUUCGACCAUAUAAAUUUAUUUGAAAGAGUUGAAUCACACUAUUCUCGAAAGAUAGCCAAAAGCAAUAUCUGUGUGAAACUUUGAAUAUCUCUAAAAUGCACCGACUAUAUUUGGAAUGGAUAGAUACAAACAACCAGUACAAUUAAACAUGCAAAGCAACUAAACGCCAAUAUGAAAUAAUCUUCAAUACAAAGUUUAACCUAUCCUUCCACAAACCUAAAAAAGAUUUAUGUGAGAUAUGUUCAAUUUACCAAACUUCUGAUGAUGUUAGGAUCGAACAAUUACAAGCUGAUUAUGAAAAGCACUUGAAAGAAAAGCAAUUAGUCAGGCAAUUAAAGGAACAAGAAAAAGAAACUUUUUCUUCAGAUGACAGUGUUGUAGCAUGUUUUGAUCUGGAAAAAGUGUUGAAUAUCCCUCAAAGUGAAGUAGGCACAUUUCAUUAUGAACGGAAGUAUCCUGUAUACAAUUUCACGAUCUAUAAUAUAAUCGAGAAGAAAGGUUACUGCUAUGUCUGGCACUGUCAGAUUGCGAAAAGGGGUGCGAUAGAAAUAGCAAGUUGUCUUUGGUCAUUGAUCCAGGUUUUUGGAGAAAGGUGGCCAAUCGAGGGGUGAUUCUAUGCACGCUGCUAUUGAGCGUUCCAAGAAAAAGCAUACUAUUUACACACCUAACCUAAUGUAUUCCUUGAUAGAGAAUGCCAAAGUUACCGGACACAAGUACCAGGUAAGACAAAUGACACAAGCUGAUUGCAUAGAUUUUAAAGAGUUAAUAAAGGGGAAGAAUUGGUUGAAAGAUAAAAAUGGGGAUAUAAUUUAUUGGAGCAAAUAAAAGAAGUAGUUUUUUAUUAUAAUCAUCCUGGUACAAUAUACUUUAGAUACAGUUUUGAAGACGAAUUACAAGAGAUGCAAACUAUCACGAGGACUAAUUCAAGAAGGCGACGAGGAGAACCCAUAGAAAAUGCUGAAAACCUAAAACACUGGAAUUCUAUUUAUACCACUCCCUUUAUAUAGGGAUUUAAUAAGACUGCGACUCAGGAGCCAUACUAAACCAUUCUUACCAGUGUUUUUACAGAAAUUUGGUGCCAUUAGGUUCCACCUCGGUAAUACCAACGAUAGUGACGAGGAGAUUUAUUAGUACUUACUUAUUUCUUGUUCUCUGUUUAAUUUUUCAUGUUUUUUUUUUUUAAUAAUAUACCUGAUAGGUACUUAAUUUGUUCCUUAUUGGAUAAAUAAAAAAUAAUUAUUCUUAUUAACAUUAUUUUUUAUUUAACCUUUAUCAAAAAUCAUAAGCUAAUUUACAUUAUUAUACCAUGCACUAAUAAAGAUGUAUUACAUAAAUAAUGAAUUGAUCUUAAUUACGCUAAUAAACGGGCCUCUAUCUUUACAAACAUGAAAAAGCAACAAAAUAUACAAGAAUAAGCCUGUAGACAGCCAGAGCACGGCUCAGAAAAAAAAAUAUUGACGUAGAAUAACCGUGUAACAUUUCACUAUAUUUGAUUAUGCUUCAUUUAUGACACGAAUAAACGUGCAGUGAUACAAUACUGUUAAAAAGUCACAUAUUAUUCACUACAAUAAUAAAAUAACAUGUUUUUUCUUGAAUAUUGAGAAAACUGUUAAUAUUUUUUUUAUAAAAAAUAUAUGAGCUAAAAGAUAUUUUUUUUACCUUUAAUUUGAUCAUUCAUUAUAUAUAUCUAUUUAUUAUGUAAUUAAAGUAAAGUGAUUCCAAACUAUUUUGUUGUUUCCUGAAAAGUUGUUGUUUUUCGAUUGCACGUUUAUUCGUUGGGGCCAUCGAUAU